CUAGCCGUAAACGAUGUCCGCUAGUUGCUUGAGAGUAAUCUUAGGUGACGAAGGUAACCCAUUAAGCGGACCGCCUGGGAAGUACGAUCGCAAGAUUGAAACUCAAAGGAAUUGGCGGGGAGGCGCACAACCAGUGGAGCAUGUGGUUUAAUUCGAUACAAAGCGAAGAACCUUACCUGGGUUUGACAUCCAGCUUUUUCCUGCUUUGGAAACAGAGCAAGGGUCUGCCUUUGGCAGAAAAAGCUGGACAGCUAC
rnacentral:rRNA from 1 species